UCAGGACGAACGCUGGCGGCGUGCCUAAUACAUGCAAGUCGAACGGUCUUUCUAUGGGAGCUUGCUUCCACUGAGAAGAUAGUGGCGAACGGGUGAGUAACACGUGGGUAACCUGCCCAUAAGAGGGGGGAUAACAUCCGGAAACGGGUGCUAAUACCGCAUAGUUUUCUUGAUCGCAUGAUUGAGAAAGGAAAGACGGCCUUUGUGCUGUCGCUUAUGGAUGGACCCGCGGCGUAUUAGUUAGUUGGUGAGGUAACGGCCCACCAAGACGAUGAUACGUAGUCGACCUGAGAGGGUGAUCGGCCACAUUGGGACUGAGACACGGCCCAAACUCCUACGGGAGGCAGCAGUAGGGAAUCUUCCGCAAUGGACGAAAGUCUGACGGAGCAACGCCGCGUGAGUGAAGAAAGGUUUUCGGAUCGUAAAACUCUGUUGUCAGAGAAGAACAAGUUGGAGAGUAACUGCUCCAGCCUUGACGGUAUCUGACCAGAAAGCCACGGCUAACUACGUGCCAGCAGCCGC
rnacentral:rRNA from 1 species